AGCUGGAAAGUCUUCUCACUGAGACUGAACCCUGAGAGCCUCAGAACGCAAUGGACCCCGAUCCUUCAGCUCACACUAUUUGCCUGACCAGCCAUUGAACUCCCCUCCCACUAUCAAUGGGCACCAUCAUGACCCCCAUCCUCUCUGCCCUGCUGAGCCUUGAGAAGGCCACUUCAAGUCCUGAAACUGAGAACUGGCUGUUUGGUGAGCAAUUGGAGGAUUCACAAUAGAGAAGAUGGGGAAACAGAGCUGGAUGCCCAAUCAGGUCUGCCCAUCCCAUCCAUGGUCCCCCUAUUUCUGAUGAAUCCUCUUGUAGGACUGUAUUAUUCUUUUCCCACCUCUGGGUCUUGGUCUGGGUCACCCCCCUUCUUUGCACUCUCUCUCUCGCCACCUCCUCCUCUGACAAGGCACAUUUAGUUCAGGAACCCCCCUAAGGAAGCCUUUCCCACCCCUCCCCCACCUCAGAUGUUAGGAGCCCCCACUCCCACCCCCGGGAGGGCAGGGGCUGCUCUGUUUUGUCAUUUGUGCUCUGGAUGUGACCCAGCACAGGGGGAGGGCUUAAUAAUGUCUGGAGCCCUGGAUUACUAAGAAGCUUGGGGCCUCCCUGAGGAGAGGGUACUGUCUCCCUCCUUUGGGCCAGGGCUCCCCAAAGAACAGGGUCAUUCAGACCCUUCCCCCUCUUGGUCUUCAUCCAUGACUUGCCCAGGUCUCUCUAAGAAAAAUGCAAGCAUCUUGCUGGGCGUCUCAGCACUGCUCAUCCUGCUCUUCCUCUUCCUCCUCCUCUUCUGCUGUCGCCGCCAUCGGGCCAGAAUCAGCAAUGGGAGCAGAGGAGCAGAGGUCAAGAAAACCUCCAAGAGCUCAUACUCAGCUUCAAUCCCCACGGAGGAGACCUUGUACAUUGCUGUUGAGGAUGGCAGACAGACAGAGGAGGCCACACAGGAGGACACUGCUGUUCCCAAAGGGGAAGACCCUCAGCAAGUGACCUACGCUCAGCUGAACCUCUGCAGUCUCAGGGCUGGGACCAAUAACUCUCCCUCCUCUAAACCAGUGGAGCCCAGCCUCUAUGCUACCCUUCGGUGA
rnacentral:lncRNA from 1 species